GGAUGCGGAGCUGCUGCUGCUGGGGAGGACCAUUAUUGAGCUAGGGCUAGGUGAGGGUGAGGCUGGAGCUGAUGGGUGCGGCGCAAGUUCGUCGGCUUCUUCUUCUCUUGCUGGCUUGCUGCUUAUCGUGCGCCGAGGGGAGGCCAUUGGGGUCGGAGAGGUUGGAUGUGGGAAAGCACUUGAAGCGGUUGAACAAGCCUCCAGUGAAAACCAUUCAGAGCCCUGAUGGAGAUACAAUCGACUGUGUUCAUGCUGCUCAACA
rnacentral:misc_RNA from 1 species